GGGAAUUGUUCGCGAUGGGCGCAAGCCUGACGACGCAACGCCGCGUGGAGGAUGAAGGUCUUCGGAUUGUAAACUCCUGUUGCCCGGGACGAACCGCUCCGACCUAAUACGUCGGAGCUUGACGGUACCGGGGGAGAAAGCCCAGGACAACUCUGUGCCAGCAGCCGCGGUAAUACAGAGGGGGCAAGCGUUGUUCGGAAUUACUGGGCGUAAAGGGCGCGUAGGCGGCCUGUUAAGUCGAACGUGAAAUCCCCGGGCUCAACCCGGGAACUGCGUCCGAGACUGGCAGGCUUGAAUCCGGGAGAGGGAUGUGGAAUUCCAGGUGUAGCGGUGAAAUGCGUAGAUAUCUGGAGGAACACCGGUGGCGAAGGCGGCAUCCUGGACCGGUAUUGACGCUGAGGCGCGAAAGCCAGGGGAGCAAA
rnacentral:rRNA from 1 species